rnacentral:tRNA from 1 species
UCUCUGGUGGUCCAAUGGUUAAGACUCCGCACUUCAAAUGCAGGGGGUGAAGGUUCACAUCCUUGUUGGGGAA